AGCCUUCGGCAGGUGGCCGGAAGAGUCACCGAUAUGGCUCACGCGAACUGCCGGGUGGUGUGCUGGCUGUAUACGUAGCAGGUGCUCAGUCUCCUUUCCUCUCUCCCCGAUAUGCCUUUGGUCCCUGCUUCUCCUCCCACCUGAGAGCACAGCCUCCUCCAGGAAGCUGCCGUGACUUCCACUCAGGCCUCUGUCUUGUGCCAAGCGCCGUGCCCUUCCCAUGGCCUCUCGCAGAGUCUCUCCAACACCGUGGUGCCACUGGAACCCGUGCUGUUGCCUCCACCUUCUCCCCCUGUAAAUGAAGACACGGAAGUCACGGAGGCGGCAGGACAUGCCGGGGGCCUCACUGCCAGGGGAGGGUAGAGCCCGGCGCGCACAGGGGCUGCUUCUCCCGGUCACACGGCACGUGGCCCGAAGUCAGGAGACCUGGUGGCUGCUCCCGAGAGCCCACAUCGUGGACAGGCGGACUCCCCCGAUGUGGCUUUGUUGAACGAGGGACCGAGUCGUCAGGCUAUCCAGCACUUACAGACAGGCCAGGCACUCUUUGGAGCAAUGAACUUGCGGUAACUUUAAUAUUCACAUCAGCUGCGGGGGGCGCUAUCAUUCCCAUUUUACAGAUGAGGAAAAGAGGCUCAGAGAGGUUGAGAGCCUCGCUCAAGGUCACACAGCUGAGUUGGGCUGCGAACCCCAGACGUUGAGCCCCAGAGCACACACUCUUAACCCCAUGUCCCCACUCCCAGGAGGGGGGGGGGGCCGGAGCGAGUUGGGCCCCCUGGCAGGUAGUAGGUGCUUCUCCUCGCCCCCCCCGCCCCUGCCCCCGCCGCGCCCCCCCUCCCCCAGCCCGGCGACGCCCAGCGCCGGGAUUCGGAUCUCGGCCCAGCCGCGAGGUCAGCAGCCCGUUCUGCCCUGAACCGGGAGGAAUGUUCGCGGCGGCCUCGGCCCGGGUCCGAGAAGAAAGGCAGCCUUGUGGGCGAAAGAUCCCGCUGCGCCGACACCCCCUGUGCUUGUGUUUGGCGGCUCGGGAGUAUUUUCUGGACGAUCAGCUCUUCGAACUGCAGGUGACUGCAUUUACUCUUCCGAGAGCCAUCGCCGCCGUGCCCUGUGGGAGGCCUGUGCCCUGUAGCGUCCCACCAGCCGUGCCUCACCCACGAGGAAACUGAGGCACAGACACAGUCAGCUGUU